CCAUUGUGCCAUUCAGUAUUAAGACUACUGUCCGUUACUCAAUGUUGUGCCACUUUUUUGAAUAUUUUAAAAGUAGGUAUUGCCUUAUAUCACCAAGUCUGUCACACUGUGGUUCUCACAAUUGCUCUACUAGCAAAAGUUACAAUAAAAAGCUAAAUAAAACCAGAGCAAGAUGUUGCAGAAGACUGCAAGUGGCUCAGGACCAGACUUUCAGAACAGGCAAUGGUUCAGAUCUACAACUGCAAAUGCAAUGAAAAACUGUCUUAGGCUGGGUUUCCACUUGGCAGUUUUUGGAAAAGCACUGCCAGAGCCCUACAAAAUGACCUCCAGUAGGCCACAAAUGUGCAUGUGUCCAUUCAAACGGUCAGAAACAGACUCCAUGAGGGUGGUAUGAGGGCCCAAUGUCCACAGGUGGGGGUUGUACUUACAGCCCAACAUCGUGCAGGACGUUUGGCAUUUGCCAGAGAACAACAAGAUUGCCAAAUUUGCCACUGGCGCCCUGUGCUCUUCACAGAUGAAAGCAGGUUCACAUUGAGCACAUGUGACAGACGUGACAGAGUCUGGAGAUGCCAUGGAGAAUGUUCUGCUGCCUGCAACAUCCUACAGCAUGACCAGUUUUUAGCGGAGGGUCAGUAAUGGUGUGGGGUGGCAUUUCUUUGGGGGGCCGCAGAGCCCUCCAUGUGCUUGCCAGAGGUAGCCUGACUGCCAUUAGGUACCGAGAUCCUCAGACCUUGUGUGACUUUAUGCUGGUGCGGUUGGCCCUGGGUUCCUCCUAAUGCAAGACCUCAUGUGGCUGGAGUGUGUCAGCAGUUCCUGCAAGAGGAAGGCAUUGAUGCUAUGGACUGGCUCGCCCUUUCCCCAGACCUGAAUCCGAUUGAGCAAAUCUGGGACAUCAUGUCUCGCUCCAUACACCAACCACAGACUGUCCAGGAGUUGGUGGAUGCUUUAGUCCAGGUCUGGGAGGACAUCCCUCAGGAGACCAUCCGCCACCCCAUCAGGAGCAUGCCCAGGCGUUGUAGGGAUGUCAUACAGGCACAUGGAGGCCACACACACUACUGAGCCUCAUUUUGACUUGUUUUAAGGACAUUACAUCAAAGUUGGAUCAGCCUGUAGUGUGGAUUUCCACUUUGAUUUUGAGUGUGACUCCAUAUCCAGACCUCCAUGGGUUGAUACAUUUUAUUUCCAUUGAUAAUUUUUGUGUGAUUUUGUUGACAGCACAUUCAACUAUGUAAAGACGAAAGUAUUUCAUACGAUUAGUUCAUUCAGAUCUAUAAUGUGUUAUUUUAGUGUUUCCUUUAUUUUUUUGAGCAGUGUAUAAACGAAAGACUUGUACUUCUCCUUUCUGCUGGAUCCGUUUCUUGCUUUGGCUCAAAAACUGCAGUGUCAGUUUUCUAAAAAUUUGUUAAGUGGAAAUUUAGCCUUAUAAUGACUUGUGUCAUAUUUUAUAUGAGUUUUAGACCCUAUGAGGGAGAUUUAUCAAAACUAGUGCAGAGGAAAAGCUGCCCAGUUACCCAUAGCAACCAAUCAGAUCGCUUCUUUCAUUUUUCACAGGCCUUGUUAAGAAUGAAAGAAGAGAUCUGAUUGGUUGCUAUAGGCAACUGGGCAACUUUGCCUGUCCACAGGUUUUGAUAAAUCUCUCCCUUUGUGGCCUUUUUUGACCAGUUUGACUAAAGGUGCUUGGCUUAAAAUGGGGAUUGACUCCAGUUAAUUGGGAUGUAGACUUAAUGUGCCAAAAAUGCAUCAAAAUGUUGUCAUGGAUUCUGGUUUAAAAUGUUACUUUGAGUUCAUCGGUCCGGAGAUUCCGCAGCACUGAUAUCCGGGAGGCAGCACCACCACACGGAUCUUCCGUCAUGCUUUUAUAAGUUGUUGUGUCUUUGGAAACACAACAACUGAAGAAAUGAAAGACAGCAAUGUCAACAAUACCUUGCUUUUCAUUGUUAUUUUUACUUCCCCUGACUCAACAAUAAAAAAACUGUCUGCUCCAUCACCCUGGG